AUCACCUGGGGAUCUUGUUAAAAUGCAGAUUUUGAUGCCAGGGGUCUGGGAUGGGGCCUGAGUUGUGCAUUUCUAAUAAGCUCCCAGGUGACACUCA
rfam:Pan troglodytes isolate Yerkes chimp pedigree #C0471 (Clint) chromosome 2B, whole genome shotgun sequence.